UACGUAGGGUGCGAGCGUUGUCCGGAAUUAUUGGGCGUAAAGGGCUCGUAGGCGGUUUGUCGCGUCGGGAGUGAAAACACCGGGCUUAACUCGGUGCUGGCUUUCGAUACGGGCAGACUAGAGGUAUUCAGGGGAGAACGGAAUUCCUGGUGUAGCGGUGAAAUGCGCAGAUAUCAGGAAGAACACCCGUGGCGAAGGCGGCUCUCUGGGACGGUACUGACGCUGAGACGCGAAAGCGUGGGGAGCGAACAGG
rnacentral:rRNA from 1 species